AUCGGCGGCGGUAUAUUCCCGGCCACCCCAAGGUCCAAUGGCGGCAUGAGCUUCUCCGUUAGCCCCAACCUGACAUCGUCGACCAUGGCCCGACAUCAAUCACAGUCUCAACCAUGGAUUCAUGUCAAUCCCACAUAAUGGGAUAAUAAUCCAGUUCCACCAGGUGGCUUCAUGCAAAUGUUUGAAGACCAAAAUGAAAAUUCUCACUUUGUUGGGAGAAGCUCUCACUCUGCCCCCUUCAUGCCACCAAUUGAAGAAUCAGCCACUCCACCAGCACAAGGUAAUCACAAUAUGGAUAAUGAUCUACUCCCUCUGCCCCAAAAAAUAUGUCACCCUAGCAUUCGAAUUUUGUCCCAAAAAAACAAAAAACAUGUCACCCCACCUUUUGGACAAUGGUAUGGAUCCACAAACGAUGCAAAAUCCAUCUACGGAGCCCCAUGAUUUCCGUCCCCCACCCUCUCCCUUCCAACUACCAUUAUCAAUUCGUUUCCCAUCCUCCCCUUCCGGCCGUCGGCGCGCACCUCCGCCGCUAGCGCUGCCGCUUGCGUGCCCCCUGCGUCCCCGUCGCCGAAAUCACUGCCACUGCGUGCGCGCCCCAGCACCGCUGCUACCGCCGCAUGUGCGCCGCAGCCCUGCGUGGGCGCCACUCCGUCCGUGGCACCAUUGAGCCCCAGUGCGCCGUCCCGAGCCCCCACACUGCCCACGCAAGACCCAAAGAUGGGUGGUGUCCACCGCAGGACAUGGAGGCCGAGGGUUGGAGUUCAACGCAGUGGCAUCCGCAGCCACGGCUGGGAUCGGCGUCGUCGAGGAACUUGGUGGGAUCGGGUCUACAAGCGUAUCGCAGUUGAAGGCAAGGAUUUCGUCGCAGAUACGCAAGAUGGAGUCAGUGAUGAGUUCGAAUUCAUCCCUGAUUUGGAUGAAGAAGAUGGUGGUACCUAUCCAAUGUGCACGUCGGCGACGACGAGGUUGUUCUGGAGACAGAGGUGCAGAAAAUUGCUGACGAUGAACAGAUUGGACAGCUUCAGGUUGAUGUCCCCCAACGUUCUUUGGGUAACCUGGUCCAAGAUUACCGUCAGGUUGUGUUGGGGGAAGACAGUGAAGCAUCAACCACAAUUGUGGCCGAGAAGGAGAACAAUCAGCAGGCUACGACAACUACAAAUAAGUCAAUCACUGCGAUCUCGAUUGCCGAUGCUGAGACAGACGAUUAGGGAAUUAAUCCUUAUAAUGAUGAAGAGCUUUCUUACAAAAGGCCAAACGCCGAGCUUGCCAUCAAAAGUACAAUUACCAGCUGCAUCAAACCUAGGCAUACCAACUCCUGAAUACACCAUAACCUUUGCAAUUGAAUUCUUAUUUUGCACUGUCCUAUGUGGGUCUUCUUCAUCAGGUAACAAGUAAUAUGUCUCCCUCUUCUUUGAAGCAUUGAACCACUUCUCAUCUGAAUGGAUAAUAUAUAUCAUAUCAAUGAAUUUUGGAUCAUUUGGCAAGUAUGCUGAUCUAACAUAGAGACACACCACCUCAACCUUUCAAUCUUGUUUGCUUCCUUCAAAUAAGGCUUUUAGCGAGCUGGAGUGCCGUCUUAGCUCCCCUUCUUUAAACCAUCUAUGCAAUCUACUUUUGUUAAUACCUAGGGCAUCUGCUAAGGACCUAAUAGUGGUCCUCCUAUGCAAUGGAAUUCUAGCAACAUCUGACAGUUCCACACUAAUCCUUUUCCUACAAGAGUUCUUUGCUUUCUUUGACCUAACAUCAACAGGCACUCCGUUUGCACGACAUACCAUGGCCCUUUGCCAUACACGUUGAAUUGUACGCCUACUGACAUUGAACCUAUAAGCAAUCACAGUUGUGCUGUUUUUUUAAAAAAAAAUUCCACAGUUGCUUACCUCAAGUAAAGCUUCGUAUAUGUCUUGCCUAUCUCUAUCUUUUAAAUCUUUGGUCCUAGUUCUCUUAUCUGCAUGCCCAUGGAUUUCUUCCUUUGAGUCUGGCAAUUCCUCUUGAUCAAAUUCUAUAUCAAUUUCUAUAGAAUACACACCAUAAUUGUGGAUAUCAUCCUCCAGAUCUUGGAACCCAUAAACAGAUUCUGCAACCACAGAUUAAUUCAGUUCAAUGGUUGAAAACUGUUUCCUGGGAAACUAAGAGCAAGGUUAAUAAUUUAGCCAACUGCUGGCUGUAAGGAUUCUUGUAGCCUACCUCUCAGCCUACUCGUAUAGUGGUUUAGUCUUUCAUCAUUAAUCAUAGUCCACCUGUCUCUCUCACAAGGUUUCUUGGUUCUUGUGUCGAAGCCCCCUGUAAGCUAACAGCCCACUUCCCCUCUCUCUCCUCUCCUCUCUCCUCCACCUCAUCAUUCAGCAUGCUUACAGCCUGCUAUAAUCACUGCGUUCGGCAGGCUGGAGCUGGAGGCUGGAGCUGGAAUGGUGUGAGAGAAAAAUACUGUUGGGCUGGCUGGAGCUGGAGCUGGUGGCUGGAGUGGUGUGAGAGGAAAAUACUGUUGGUCUGGAGCUGGAGCAGCCUGCCGAACGCAGUGAAUACUUGCUCUAAGCAGUUUUUUGUUGAUUAAUUACCUUGAUGUGCUGGUAGAUGACGGUCAUCAUCAUAAAAAAUUAUGUACUCAUUGCUUCCUGGAUGGACGUGAGCUACAACAUGUAAUAGGCCGGUCAGAUUUAUUCUAUCUCUAAUGAAUAAAUCAAUUAUUCUGUGUAUGGGUAAGAUUCGACAUUAACAAAAACCAAGUGCAAUUUAGGAGUAGUACUAGUACAUGCGAUGAGAAUUUUACCUGGGAUAAAUUCUUCUUCUUCCUCGGCAGCAACAAAGUUCAAGUCCAAAGGAUGCACAACCCUAUCAUGUCCACCAUCAUGGACGUCAUCUGGGCCAUCUUCUUUCUCCUCUGCAAUGGCUUGAUUAAGAUCUGGGACACCUGCAGGAAUGUUGAGAUCCAUGCCGAUGUGGGUGACAGGAUGUUAAGCGAAAUGACAACAUGCCAGAUUGACUAAAUUUAUAGGUCGUGCGUGGAGGUUCUGGCGCCGGAUGAAAUUUUGGAUAAAAAAAUUAAUUUUAGCGCUUGUGAGAAUAAUACUAGUAACUUUCAUUUGUGCGUGGCUCUUUUUAAAUACCGACGCGCGGCAAUAGACACGGCAUGGCGCUAAAUAAAAGCGCGCAGUGUAGGGCGCCAAAAGUUUUGUGAUGGCGGCAACUAACCUCCUGCAUGCAGCCAUGCAGAUAUCCGUAAUUGAUUGAUUACGGUGAUUAUGGUGCGUGGGACCUGCUUGUACAGGUAGGGGCUGCAUGGUCAUUAUAUUCCCUCACUAAUCUGUCUGAAAUUUUCUAGGGUGACAUGUUUUUUUUGGACGGAGGGAGUAAUUGGUAGGACCGAUAAGCGUAUUCUCUGGACGCAAGAAGAAGAUUUAAGACUAAUGAAUGCUUGGUUGAAGAACUCGGUGGACUCUAUUAGCGGUAAUCAAAAAAGGAAUGAGCAGUAUUGGGGUGAUGUUGCUAGGACAUACAACGUCACAACGCCGAGUCAUAGGCAGAGGAACAUGAAGCAAGUAAAAGAUAGAUGGCACAAGAUUAACAAGUGGAUGGAACUAUUUCAUUGUGCCUGGCUGAAAGCUCGUAGAUUGAAUACAAGCUGGUGGAAUGAUCAGAUGUGGAUUGAUCAAGCCCACAAGUUUUACGAGGACGAAAACAAAGAUCUCAAGCUAGGACAUUUUGUGUUGAUGAAUGUUUGGUAUGCUAUCAGAAUGAGCCCAAAUGGCAAACCAACAAUGAUAGCCUUAUAAAUGCACGCAAAAGGAAGACAACAGAAUAGGGAACUGAAGAGGAAAGGGAAGAAGUGGACCCUAUUGAUAUCUCUGACAAACCUAGACCACUUGGUCAUAAAGUAGCAAAGAGGGAAGCAUAUGAAGCAAAGGUGCAGUCUAUGUCUUCGUCUAUAGAAGACGCAGAUGUUAGAGUCCUCAAAGAAGCUCAAGCAAACAGACUGAAGGUACUGGAAGUGCAGCAGAAAUUAUCAGUAGAGAGGUUGGAGUCAUCAAAGGUUGCCCAUCUAGUAGCAAAGGAGCACAAAGAGGUCAAACUUGCUGAGAAGGAAGCCAAGACUCUAGAGGUUAAAGCCAAAAUGAUGGAGACAUAUAACUGUCUUCUUGUGAAAGAUAAUGUGCUCAUGACGGAUGAGGAAAAGGUUGAUCAUGUUGGAACACUGAAGUAUUUGAAGAAGACAUUGUUUCCUGAUAUGUACUAAGGUGAGUUUCAGUAGAGACACAUUUUUUGCCACAUUUUAUUGUUCUCUGAAACUCUGAGUAUAAACUUAUAUGGAGAGGUAUCUGACCUAUUUGGCAUUUCUGUUGACACCUUUCCCUGCAUGAUGUGGGCUGCAUCGAUUAGUUCAGAGCUUAG